UACGUAGGGUGCGAGCGUUGUCCGGAAUUAUUGGGCGUAAAGCGCGUGUAGGCGGAUCGUUAAGUGUCUUGUGAAAUCCCACGGCUCAACCGUGGAACUGCUGGGUAUACUGGUUGUCUUGAGCCAGCUAGGGGCGAGCGGAACAGACGGUGGAGCGGUGAAAUGCGUAGAUAUCGUCUGGAACGCCGAAGGUGAAAACAGCUCGCUGGGGCUGCGCUGACGCUGAGACACGAAAGCCAGGGGAGCGAACGGG
rnacentral:rRNA from 1 species